rnacentral:rRNA from 1 species
UACCAGCACCCCGAGUGGUCGGUCCGAUUAUUGGGCCUAAAGCAUCCGUAGCCGGUUUUACAAGUCCUCCGUUAAAUCCAGCUGCUCAACAGAUGGGCUGCGGAGGAUACUAUAAGACUAGGAGGCAGGAGAGGCAAGCGGUACUCAGUGGGUAGGGGUAAAAUCCGUUGAUCCAUUGAAGACCACCAGUGGCGAAGGCGGCUUGCCAGAAUGCGCUCGACGGUGAGGGAUGAAAGCUGGGGGAGCAAACCGG